CACGCUGUGGAAGAAGAGAGAAAGUCCAAUAUCAUUAAUGAUUCGAAUUAUAUAACCUAGGACUAAAUUCAUCAUGCAAAUCAAAGACAUGUGAUUUAACUGCAUGAUUUACUGUAAUGUCAACAUUUCUGCUUUAUAAACUUGUCUUGAUCUGCUGAGACAGUUUUCGUAACAGAGCCAGUAAACCUGAAUAAAGCCAACUGGCCGCAUCUGCUUACUGUAUAUUAUUUUUUGGUGGCACAGUUUGACUUUUCAAACUGCAUCUGCAACCCUUUGCGGAUAAGUGUUACAGUACAUUUAUAUCUUGCAAGUAGGAUGUGACAAAUCACAUAUCACUCAAGAAAUCACUUAUGUAAGUGAGCAAGCAGAUGUGAUUAACGCAGCAUUGUCAGAAUGCCUGGAGGGACCAAAGUGCUCCCACACCCUGUACAAGUAUUUGUAAAGUCGCUCCUUCUAAAGUAUGUGCGAGGUGCAUGAUUGCUAUCGACUACAACAAGUUUGGUCUCAUCAUUUGAAAAGAGAUUCUUGGCCUAGAGACGUGAGAAAGCACUGCUGUCUACUGCGUUUGGUGAAACUGUAUUUAGGAGGAGAAAAAAGUGACAGAGGAUUCAAAUACGUAAGAUAAUGAGUGGAAUGGAAGGCAAGCCCAAACUUCUCAUAUUGGAUCACUGACAUAAAAACAGUUCUCAAAAGUCAUACAUAACUAUAAUCAUUCGUAAAAUUCUUCUACUUAUUUCUUUGUUUUAAUGCAUGUAGCAUCUCCCAUUAUUAGGUGUUUACAUUUUUACAGGAAUUAGUCUGUCACCAACAGACCAGCUGUCUCUAGUAAUAUGAGACACUUGACAAGUAUUGCUGUCAAAUAUAAUGUGUGCCACUUGUGGAGCAAAAACUCCAAUUUUUUUUUUACAUAAAUUUUUCACAAAAUUCACUUUCAUGUUUAACAAGUGGCUCGUUUACGAGGUGACAAACUAACUUAACUAACCCUAACCCUCAAAUUAGUACUGUUCUUUAUGCAAAAGUGUUACACACUAAUAACUUGUUUUGAUUGUUUAGAAUUCUGAUCUUCUCUUUACUCAGAAAGCUUGUACUAAGUCCAGGGGAGUGGUAACGGUCACAUGGGAGAAGCCAAGUAUGGCUGUAGCUGCCAUCUCAGCAGGCAACUAUUUUAGGAGCCUGGACCGACGGCUGUGCUUCAGCGACCAAGCGCGUCGGGAAGAAGGGCACGAGGAGACGCGGGUCGGACCACGAGACCACGCAGGUGACGCUGAGCAAACUGCAUUCUGAGACGACCGGAGGAGCCGCCACGAUGUAAAUACUCAAGCUGAUUUCUUGUCUCCCAUUACGUUAAAUGUGGCAACUCGUGAACAGGAAGCCAAAGAACCCAUGCAAUUGCGGCCACGACGCCGUUAGGUGCCCACUAAAAGAUCAGGCUCACCGCUAAAGAGAAGGCUAGAGUUGAGCCACUCUUCCAUGUUUAACGGUCCUUCUCGCUCACUGCCUACUGUCACAAUCUCAGCAGGUUCUAGUUCUCUCCAGAAAGCCGUGCUCAGAUGUGGAUGGGGUUCCCAAGUGCUGUAUUUAAUAAGAAGAGGGCUACAUCUCCUCCUCCCCAUCGGCUCCAUGAUUGUGCCAUUAACCUGCGACCUGGCAUGUCUCCUCCCAACGGAAGGCUCUACCAGUUGGCUUCUAAGGAGAGGCUUACCAUGAAGGAGUAUAUUGAUAACGCGCUGUCUACUUGUAUUAUUCAUCCAUCCACGUCCCCAUUCUUUUUUGUUGACAGGAAGGAUAGCUCUCCUUCGCCUUGUAUUGAUUAUAGGGGCUUAAACAAGAUAACAGUACAUGAAUCUUACCAUUUUCCCUUGUUGUCUUCAGCAUUCAAGCUACUCACAGACGCCCGCAUUUACACUAAGCUAGAUCUCCGCAUUGCAUAUCAUCCGAUCUAUAUUCGCAUUCACGCUAUGAAUAUCUUUGUCAUGCCCUUUGGCCUCACCAAUGUUCCUGCAGUGUUCCAGUCCUUCGUGAAUGAUGUCCUUGGUUACGCGAUUAAUGAUUUUGUAUUUGUUUAUUUAGACGACAUCUUGAUCUUUUCACGCUCUGAGGAGGAGCAUCGUCAACACGUGAGACAAGUGCUGAAGAGGUUACUGGAACUCAAACUGUAUGUUAAAGCAAAAAAGGGUGAAUUUCAUGUACCUACCAUGUCCGGAUUUGUCAUAUCACAGGGUCAAAUCCAAAUGGAGCCUACUAGGACUCAGGCCGUGAAGGAGUGGCCAGUUCCUCAGUCAUGAUGGGAUGUCCAGCGAUUCUUGGGCUUUGCCAAUUUCUACCGGCAUUUCAGCAGCAUUGCUUUCCCCCUUCAUCCCCUUACCUCAUCCAAGGUGCAGUUCCAGUGGUCGGCAUAAGCUGACAAUUCCUUCUCUCAGCUCAAGCACUGCUUCACAAUGACACCGGUCCUUCACAUGCCAGAUCCAGCUUGCCAGUUUGUGGUGGAGGUCGAUGCAUCCAACUGUGGGAUACUGUAGGUGCAGUGUUUUCCCAACGAGACACUGAGAGUGCUAAGUUGCAUCCCUGUUCUUUUAUGUCCUGGAAAUUGUCCCCAGCAGAGCGAAACUACAACAUUAAGAAUCGGAAGCUCCUGGCCCUCACCCUUGUAAAGUGGUGCCAUUGGCUGCAGGGAGCAGAGCAGCCAUUCCUUGUGUUCACAGACCAUAAGAACCUGAAGUAUCUCAAGUCCACCAAGAGGUUGAACUCUGGUCAAGCACGUUGGUCCCUCUUCUUCAGCAGGUUUAACUUUUAUGUCUCCCGUCACUCUGUCUCCAAGAAUACAAAACCGGACGCUUUGUCACGCCUCCCCAACGCCGAGGAGGAUGUCGAGACCCCUGAACCCAUCCUGCCCACCUCAUAUCUAGUUGGAGCAGUUACGUAGGCCAUCGAGAAUAGAGUCAAUGAAGCGGGCCUGGAUCAACUUUCCCAGCCAGCCUGUCCCCCUAACCGGUUGUUUGUACCCCCUGAGGUCCAAGAAGAGGUAAUCCAAUGGGCCCAUACUGUACAUCCUCUUUCAGUGGUCACCCAGGCAUCCACCGGACAGCUUUUGUUAUUGGUCGAUUCUGGUGGCCAUCGGUCCUCAGGGAUGUCAAGGAGUAUGUGGCCACCAACAACCACCCGGGUUCCUGCAACCUCUCCCCGUUCCCCAUAGAACAUAGUCACACACCGCCCUGGACUUUGUCACUGCUUUACCUCCUUCCCAGGGCAACACUGUAGUCAUGAUAGUUAUUGAUCGAUUUUCCUCGGCUAACUAACUUUAUUUCUCUUUCCAAAAUCCCCUUCGCCAAGCAGACUGCUUGAGUUGUGCUGGAGUACGUCUUCUGCCUUCACGGCUUCCCCUGUGACGUGGUGUCAGACUGGGGUACCAAGUUUGUGUCAAGGUUCUGGCAGGAGUUCUGUUCCCUGUUGGGUGCCCAGGUCAGUCUUUCCUCAGGUUAUCACCCACAGUCCAAUGGACUAACCAAACGCACCCACCAGCAGUUGGAGACCAGACUGCGUCUCCUCUGCUCUACAAACCCCUCCUCGUGGGGUGUUGCACACAACACUCUGCCCUGCUCCACGACUAGGUUGUCUCCAUUCCAGUGCGUCCACGGACCUCUGUUGGUUCUACCGACCCCACCUACACCACCUGCAGGCAUUGUUGACGGGGGCCCGGUGUACACGGUCAAAGAGUUGUUGGCCAGCCGCCGUCAGGGCCGUGGUCUGCAGUACCUUGUGGACUGGGAAGGGUACGGUCUGGAGGAACGGUCCUGGAUCCCGGCUAGGGAUCUCUGCAAUCCCGGUCUCGUUGCUGGAUACCAUCAAGCCCAUCCUGACCAUCCUGGGCUGUCUGGAAGCCACCCUGGAUGAGGGGGUUCUGUCAGGAAUCAAGAAUCCUCACCGUGUUAUUAACCACUUCCUGUCUUAUUUUGUCUAGUUCCAGUAUCAGUCAGUCCACCAGUUUUGCCUCCACCUUUACUUCGGUUUCAGUAUUCAUCAGCUGUUUCCUGUUAGUCAUUUGCUCUGUAUUUAAGUUCCAGCAUUCACAUUGACCAGCAUUCCAGUGUUUUUCUUGUAUAGUCUAGACCGAGCCUUGACCCAGUUCUGUUUUGACCACAGCCUUGCCUGCACUCUUUGUACAGAUUGUACAGGUUGCCAUUGUUUUAUUUUUGUCUUGUCCUCCUCAUGCUUGUUUGUUUGCUGACCCGAGUCGGUGAGUCGCGUGGGAUCUCAAAGCAAGAGGGAGGGGCAUUGGUGUGUGUCUGCUUCUCGCCGGCUUACAGGAUCGAUCAAUGUCAAUACUAGUGUUGGUAUUGAUACUAUCGAUAUUAGGAUCGAUCCGCCCACCCCUAGUAACCGCUAAGUAUCUGACCACUGCCUGUUUGACCUGCAAAUAGUGUCCUAAUGUAGGGGACACUUGUGAGAUGUGAUAUGAGGUAUAAAAUUAGUGUAGGUGUUACUGAUGCAAUGUUUAUGAAUAAUAGAAAAGUAGAAUAUUUCAGUAAUGUCUGAAGAGAAAUGCACUUUCAGAACAUAUAUCCAAGUAAAGCAGAGGCUAAUGAAACUUCUACUGUACUUCUACCACUACGUCUACUACUACUAAAUCAUAGCACAAUCGUUGAACAUCGACUUAACAACAGGUAACCCUACCUUCUGGGUAACCCAGAAGGUAGAAAUAACAGGGAAUGGGAUCCGUUUUACGGGAUCCGUAAUAUGGGCUUUGUGUGAUGAUAUUUGAACGUGUACAUUGUUUAUUUAGCUAGCGAUUAGCUUAACAUUUUUCAUUCUUUGGCUCCAUAACUCAUCACAUUUGAUAGCCAGCAUGCUUUGGUGCAUAACCUUAGAUUCCUUUAGAUUUGAGCUUUCAUUUAAGCCCUUGUUUAUGCGUGUAUGCAUAAAGUAUCACAGUGGUAAAUCCAUAAGUGGGUCGCAAACUAGUCCAGGGCUGGCUAUAAUGCUAACUACAUGCUAACGGCUUAUUGUAUCAUAUCUUUGUCUGUGUUUGAUGUACAUGAAGACUUAUAUAGUGUUGUAGCCCUUUAAUUUAAUUUUAGGCAUGUCUAUAUUUGUGCAUUUGUUUAUCCUGUAAAACACAAUACUUAUUCUGUAAAACACACUUCCUUCCCAGUGAAUAGGGCCUAAAAGGUUUUAUAUUUAGUUUUUUAUUGAAGGAUAGAUGGAUGCUUUAGAGUUAAAAUAUACUGCCACUCGUGCUUUUAAAAAUACAUUGAGUAACGUUCUAGCAACUGUCAGGGAACGCUCGGAUGAGGACCCAAAUGCACAGCAGAACACAGGUUGACGGUGAUCAAAGGGUGGUUUAUUCCGGUAGGCAGAGACAGCGUCAGGGACAGGCAAGGUUCGUACACGAAAGCCAGAAAUAACAGUACCGAGUCGUCAGGCGGAGAAGCGUGGUCAGGCAGGCAAACAAGGUCGAUCAUCAACACCAGGAUACAUGAAACACGGCCGGACAGGAACAAUGAACUGGGGGAACAACGAUGACACACGAAACAGAAACCGGGAGUGCUACAAAAUAAAACCGGAAAUGGAAACUGGAACCAAAAUAAAACAAGGAGCAGAUCCAGAGACUGUGACAGCAACACCUUUAAUUGGCCCAGUUGUCAUAUAUUUCCCAAAAAUUCAAUGCAUAAUUUAUAAACAAUUUGCAACAAUAAAAUGACAAUAUACUGCCAAUAUAAAUAUACUUAUACAAUAUACUUAAAUCCAUUCUCAGUCUUUCUAAUCAUGAAUAAUCAUGUCACUUUUUUGAAGUGAAGAGGAAACUGUUUGGUCAAACUAGGGCAUUGAACCUAUAUUAAACAGAAGUACAGAAUUUGAUAGUGUAUCAAUAAGAAUUAAAUUAAAUAAUAUUGUAUUUAAUCUGUAAAAGAUUAUUAUACUCGUUUCUAAUGAAAUGCUAUUUAAUGAAUUGUGUAAUUUGUGCAUAGUAAGAAUGGUUGGUUUCUUCUCUGUUCUAUUUGGCCAUAUUUUUUUUAACUGUUUGACCAGAGUGAGAUGAGGGAUGAAAACUAUUUAAAAUAAAAGGAAAUGAAAAUAAUGAAGGAACUUGGUGGACAUUGAUGGGGAUCCAGCUGAAACAUUUUCAUGUUGAGCUUUUUAACAUGGCACUAAAUAGCUUCAUAGUUUACAGUCACUAGAUGGCGCCAUCAUAACUUUGAUUUUUUUUCUGUAUGCAGUAAUGUAGAACGUUCUGCAAUAAAUAUCUAAUAGACUCUGAGUGCAAUAAGUAAUAUUUUGGUAUCAACUGAAACAUUAUUGUUUAUUCUCUCAAAUUCAGCUCUGUGUUGUCAUGCCAAACUGUAAAUCUGUUCACCGUUCUUUGGAGCUGAGGAAUGCAGAGCUGAUCCAGGAGGCCUCAGAGGCCUGAGCUCCUCGCACCAGGUCUUUGGCUCUGAACGUAAACACCCUCAUAAUCCUCAAACAAACCCACAGUCAUUCACACUCUAAGCCUCAUCCCCUCAACAGCCCGUGAUUCUUCAAACGCUCUCCCAAGCAUGUUUUUGGACAGAAGAGAUGGUUUGUGACAGAGCCAGAUAAUAGAGAUCUUUAUCAACUGUUGCAUUUUAGCCUUCUGUCAUUGGAGAGAUUGCUUUUCUUGACUGUAAACUAUUGCAAUCUUUUGCUUUCCCUGAGUGUUUUGCAACUUUUCUUGCAAUAGAUUCAAGAUUUAAUUAUCAAAUUACAAUAAACCUUUUAAAACA